CACGUAGGGUCCGAGCGUUGUCCGGAAUUACUGGGCGUAAAGCGUGCGCAGACGGUUGGGUCAGUCGCUGGUGAAAGCCCCACGCUCAACGUGGGAAUGGCCAACGAGACGGCCCGACUGGAGGCAGGGAGAGGCCGGGUGGAAUUCCGGGUGUAGUGGUGAAAUGCGUAGAGAUCCGGAGGAACACCAGAGGCGAAGGCGGCCGGCUGGACCUGACCUGACGCUGAGGCACGAAGGCGUGGGGAGCGAACGGGAU
rnacentral:rRNA from 1 species